rnacentral:rRNA from 1 species
AUUGAACGCUGGCGGCAGGCCUAACACAUGCAAGUCGAACGAGUGGCGGACGGGUGAGUAAUGUCUGGGAAACUGCCUGAUGGAGGGGGAUAACUACUGGAAACGGUAGCUAAUACCGCAUACCAUCGGAUGUGCCCAGAUGGGAUUAGCUAGUAGGUGGGGUAAAGGCUCACCUAGGCGACGAUCCCUAGCUGGUCUGACAGGAUGACCAGCAAAGCUGGAACUGAGACAAGGUCCAGGCUCCUACGGGAGGCAGCAGUGGGGAAGAUUGAACAAUGGGCGAAAGCCUGAUGCAGCAAUGCCGCGUGUAUGAAGAAGGCCUUCGGGUUGUAAUGUACUUUCAGCGGGGAGGCGUUACCCGCAGAAGAAGCACCGGCUAACUCCGUGCCAGCAGCCGCGGUAAUUC